rnacentral:rRNA from 4 species
AGAAUGACUCUCGGCAACGGAUAUCUCGGCUCUCGCAUCGAUGAAGAACGUAGCGAAAUGCGAUACUUGGUGUGAAUUGCAGAAUCCCGUGAACCAUCGAGUCUUUGAACGCAAGUUGCGCCCCAAGCCUUUAGGCCGAGGGCACGCCUGCCUGGGUGUCACACA